rnacentral:hammerhead_ribozyme from 1 species
AUCCGGCUGAUGAGUCCCAAAUACAACGAAACGCGUGUCCUGGAU